UGUGUGUGUGUGUGUGUGUGUGUUGAUUCCUUAGGAUUGGGAGAUUGUGCAGGCUCAGUGUUUUCACUUUAGUUCUCAGACAGUUCAGAAGAACGUGUCUGUUUGCAGCUGUGUAGACUCUGUGGUUUUUCCUGUUCCUUUGGAGUCCAUUGCAGGAAUGUUUGCUGCACUCCCAAAUCUCAUUAUUUUAGUAGUGCUGAGCUUGUCUUAUGUCUUUAUCUGAUGUGAGAUUAGUUGGCACACAACUGCUUCCUCAUUUAAAGUGAACUUCUGUUCCCUUUUUUUUUUUUUUUUUCCCAGCCGAGGUCUGAUGUAUGCUUCCCGACCCGAAUCCUCAGCUGCCGCUAAUCCAAAUCUCAUUGCGGCAGCGCUGUACACCUCCAAACAUCCUAAUCGGAUCAGAAGUGCAGGAGCAUGAUGCCAGGCAAAUGAAACCAAGGAGGGAGAGUGUAUCUAAAUCCUCGUCUUAAAGCUUAAAUGAGCAUCACACGUCCGUCUGUCUUUCACUUAAUGAGAACGACCGAUGCAACAGUUUUGUUAAGUUAACGAGAGCUGCGUGCAUGCGCACGUGCAUGAGCGGCUGUCUGUUUUGCCAUCAGGACCUAGAUGGCCACAGCUGAUCGAUUGUGAAGCGUUUUUCUUUUUUCUUUUUUUUUGUGGGUACAGGGAGAUUAAAUGAAUCCAGCGCCUCUCGUCUUAAUGAGCCUCAAGCACAUAUCGUUUCACCGGCUGCUGCACUUAAAAAAAGAAAAAGGGAAAAGCUUGCCCUUCUCUUUAUCUGUUCCUCCGCCUCCACUUUUACCAUUCUUUCAGGAGACUUGAGAGGGUUUUGCAGUGCAAAGCAGGCAAUGAUUUACUAAAAGGUCCUUUAAUCAUUACAGGUUUUAUUUCUCUGGCCUGUCUGGAGGUCAGUCUCAUUGUUGCAUUUCUUUUCUAUUUUUUUCUCCUUACACAAAAGGAACUCUGUUUGUCAUCAGGUUGUUGACAGCAGAGAGAGGAGGAGAGUUUAGAACUCUGGGCUCGUCUGCCUGCAGGUCCGAUGAGGAUCAGCAGGUUGUUCAUUAAACAUCGCUCCCAAUCUCAGCUGUUUCGUGUUCCAGCAGAAUGUGCUGCUGCAGAUGCUGUUCUGUCACUGAAGAAAGGGCAGGAAAGAGAUCCACAAAAGAAUAUUUCAUUUAUUUAUUUAUUUGUUUUAGGAAAAAAAAACACCAAUGAAGCUGGCAUCCUGCUGAAACCUGUCUGCCUCAAAGCCUCAUUACUUAAAAAAAGAAAAGAUAAAAAAGUCAGAAAGCAAACGGCAUCAUCUGUAAAGAGAGAAAGAAAGCAAAUUUGUUUACGUCCCCAGCCGCUUCAUCACCAUCAUCUUCCUUCUGUUUAGCACCCGCAGAUGCUGUGAAUACAGUGAAUACAUGAUGCUUGCUUUCAGCACACAUCUGAUCUCCCAGCUCACUGCAGUCAUGAAAGGAUUGCUUUUUUUUUUUUUUUUUUUUUGCAUCUCUUAACUUGCCUGCUUCCCCACAAUCCUCUGCUUCAUUCACUUCUUUGACUUAAAAAAAAUCUGGGCUGAGGGAUGGCGAGGUCGGAGGCUGGUAGAAUAGAAGAAGAAGAACAAAAAGAGAAAGUCUGAGUUUCUCCUUUGAUUCCGUCUUUAAUCAAAGUCUAGAAUAUUCCAUCAGUAGCGAUUGCUGCCAGUGUUCCUCCUCCACAUUCCUCUCUUCCAAAGCACAGUGGUUUGUAACUCUCUCUGCACUUAUCGUCUUGUUUUUUUUCCUCCCUUUCAUUUCAUCUCUAAAGUGGGCCGCGUUCACGUUGUGUGGAGAAUCUUCAAAUGCAGCAGAACGAGGAAGAGACACGGCAGUACGAAUUGUGACAACGAGGCAGGAGGACGGGGGAAAGUGCAGUAGACAAAAUGCAAAAGUAAAAAGAAAAUCGCUAUUGUCUGUGCUAACACAUGCUUUAUAUGUUAAAUUGAAUGUGUGUGCGUGUGUGUGUGUGUGCAUGAAUGGAUGGAAGACAUUUCAGGCAGCUUCAGAGGGUGCUAUUACCAAAAUCAAGCCAAUGAGUUACCAAAAACUGCUUUAAUCAUUACGGAUUGAAUUCUUUAGGCACGUCUGGGGGUUACGUUCAUUGUCUCUCACUUCCAGACAACAGAAGCUCUGUUUGUCUGCAGCUUUUGCCAGCAGAAACAGAGGAAGAGCUUUUCAGUUUAGAAUUGGUUCUUAAGUAAAAAACAUGACAGCCAGCCAAUGAAAAUCUGAAGUGGCAAAAAAAAAAAGAGGAAAAAAAAAAAGGUUACAUUUAAUUCUUGAAAGUAACACAGUCAGUUUAUAACCCUGAUCUGUGUCUUAUCUGUGUGUUUUGUAACAUACUCUGCAGCGUGCUCUGUCAUUAUCACUUUUCCCCAAAACUUUGCUGCUUUGCAACAACAACAGCCAACAAUAACAGGCAAUUAUUACAGUUUCGCUUAACAAAUGAUUGUUAUGCCACAUUCAGCUCACUGAUGGGAACAGGGGAGGCCGCAUGUGUUUCAGAGUGUGUGUUCUCAAGCAUGGCGGCCAGCACCCUGCAGGCAUCUAAGCUGGCAGGCAGGCCCAAACAGGCCCGGCGCUAAGAUCAGACCUUGGGCAGCGUCUCUUUCUUCUGCCGGUCUUCUGCCUGCAUGGUGUGUGUGUGAGUCAAAGUGGCCCAGACAGGGCCGUUCUUUUAAUCAAGGGUGUCUGAAAUCAGUCAGGACCGAUAACAUACUUGUGGGAAGAGCUUCAGAGGGAGCAUAGAGACGGUAUAAGAAGGAGGGAGGAAGAAUGAAGAGGACUGGUGGGAAGGAGCUGUGGCACCAAUAAGGAAAUUCAGGACAGUGAGAUGGAGGUGUGGCAAGUACAGAGCAGAGCGGAUAAUUGAGGCAUGUAUGUGUCGGGAGAACGAUCCACUCUGUACUAAGAGUAAAAUAUUACAACGUCAGUCCAUUUGUCCGAAAGGCAGGCUGUCUCUCAGGUGUUUGUUAUGGCUAAGCCCAAAACAAAUGGAUCUAAAGUGAGACAUUGCAAAUACAGUAAAAAUAAAAUGAGGAAGAUUGACCUUUAACUUCUCGUCUUGCAGCUAGGGCUCAUGGGAAAAUAUUUUGCUUUGCAUGAAAAUAGCAAAAGAUCAGCUGGGACUCAAAUCAGUGUUCUGAAUUCAUUAGCACCUAACAGAUUUUUUAGUAUUACUUCUAUAUAUAUAUCCAGUGAAAAAUGUGUUAAACCUGUAUUUUCUUUCUUAUGACCAGUGUGGGGCAGAUCCUCUGAUUGCUUGAUGAAGUUUGGUUAAAUAAAAGUGUAUGGGACUCUGCUGCCUAAAUCUAUGACCUUAGUAAACACUUUCCUAGUGGCUUUAUAGCCUCAGUUUCAGGUGUUUUUGUGUUCAACAUGCUCUUCAUUUUGUAUUUUACACUUGGCAUUAGUGUCCACCAGGAUGAUAAAGUGGGGUAUGAUUUAGGGUGGACCUGUGUUGUCACAUUGUAAAACUGUGAAAUAUUUUUUACCUGGAAUUCUAUAUCCUGGCUUGAGCUGCUGAGAGUGCUCCUUUUCCACCAUGUAACCGAACUGGUAACUAGCAUCCACUAUUUGCUCUUCCUGUCAGAUAGAGGGCAUCUAUCAGGUGCUCCAGUGAUGUCUGGUCAGGUCAUUUGUUUAUAUUUGGGUCCCACAUCACCAGCCGUUGGCAUUUCCUCCUUCCUCACGUGCCGUCACAGCCUGGUUCUACUCUAGUGUGUUUUUUGUGCCUGGAGGAGUGAAACAAGUUUUGUUGUUUUCAUCUUCAGCAGGAACAGCUUUCUUGGAUAUUUUGGAAAGUAUUGUGCUGCGCUGCUGUUGGGGGUUUUUACCUUUUGUUGCCAAAUCACUUCCAUGUCAUUGAAGUAUCUCCAUCUUUAGGCACUAAAUUGUCAGCGGAGGUUUGCACGUGGCUUUUGCUCUCAGGCGUGUUUGGGCUUGUGUCAGUGUUAGGGAAUGUAAACACUUUGUGUCACUCUGUCAUUGAUGUGGGGACAUGGCACUUUUUUUCUACAUAUUAACAUGUUUAACAUUCGCACUGAUGAAUACAUUGCAGAGCCAAUCAGGGUUCAGUAUCUUGCUCAAGGAUACAGCCAGGGAUCAAACCACAAACCCUCUGUAAAGAGCCACAACCACCCAGCUUUAGAUCCAGUUACAUAAAGUAGGUCUUUAUCACUUGGGUUAUAUCAGGUAAAAAAAGCUUUAGCUAUAUUUGUCUUGUUGUCUUGAUUUCCUACUCCAAAUAGAUUUGCCAAAACUAUUUCUCUGUUUAAAACAUUUUGUAAAUGUUUCCUUUUUUGCCUCAUUGGAUCUGUGUUUAGCGAUUUGGCCCGUUAUGACAUUUCCGCUUUUCCUGUCAUCCUGAAAGAUGGAUUUAAUAAAAGUGUACAGAGGGCCUGGACUUUUAAAACAAGAGUGAUGUUGAUAAAACUCUCCUCUUGUGUUAUUUCCUCUCUCUCGCUUUCAUUAUACUGCUGCUGUUUUUGGGUCUUUGGGGGUGGUGUGUGUGUGUGUGUGUGGGGGGGCUGCUGCAUGAAGAUUGAUGUCUUCAUUUUCUGAAAUGCCCCGGGCCAAAUUAACAUUUAUUGAGUUACAUCCAAAUUUUGCUUUUAUGAGAGUCUAAAAUAGGACCACAGCUUCCAAGGCAGAUAUUAAAUGACGGAGAACGGCUUGGGACACGAAAACCCUUCAUUGUUUUAGCUUUUAUUGUUGAUCAAGGUGGGGAGCUAAAAUCGAAAAAUAGGAUCAGGUUCUAAUUUGAUGACUGCGGCAUCUACAAACCAGGACUCUGAUGGGCAUUGUUCUUUCGCUUUCUGAUGGGGGUUGAUGCUCUAUUGACAGUUGUUAUCGUGCAGGUGCGUAAUUAUUCUCCAACCUCAGGGGAUCCAUAACUCGCAUCUUCACUGCAGUGUGAUGUGAAGGCUGUGGCAGGUUAAGCGCCGCAGACUGACAAAGCAAAUAUUUGUGUCGUCUCUUUAAACGGGAGGUUUAUUAGGGCAGCGGAGUGGGCUGCUGUCAUUUCUCCUUCCAGACGCGUGAAAAGCUUUCUGUCAUGUUCAACUUUCCCUCCCGGAGUUAAUCCGAACUGUCGUGCUGUAGAAUGCUCUGGUGGCAUGAAUUAGGACAGACGCUGAAUACCUUGUUUCAAAACAACAUUAUUAAACCUUAUUAUUAAAUAACCUCUGCAUCUACUGUUUUUUUUCAUUACUAUUAUUUGCAUUCAAAGAAAACAAAUUCUAGUUUAUAGACAUCAAGUGCUUUCGCAUCCCUGCUACGCAGAAAAUGGAACAUGCACAGCAUAGCAACAAAACCAGUUAGAGAUGUCUAUAAUUAGCUUAAGUGAAGCUGUACCUCUCCAUCCUACACACACAGUGGAAAAUUGGAAAAAAAAAAGUAUCAUCAGUGGGAGUUUUGCUAUCAGUGUUAAAUUGAGGGCUGCACAUUUACUGAGAAGCUGUGACCAGUGAGGUAAACAAAUAACAUAACAUACAGCUGCCUCAGAUGAUUUCUUAGACAUUAGGGUUCCAAUAUGUGCAUUUGACUAUUUGCAUUGAAAAGUUGAACAAUGCGUUUGAGUUAAGAAGUUAAAACUCCAUAACCAUAGUUUUCUCUCUCUGAUGAUCCCUUUUCAUGCCCAUAGGAGUAAUCUGUGCAGGGCAACACCGCCUUUGAAUUGGAAGCUGACUGUAUCAUCGCCACCCUUCGCCUGCAGAGCUGUGUUCUUAUGAAUUCCGAAUGAAGGCUCGAGUAAAUGAUCGAUGCCAACAGUUGCUCUUACUCUCUCUGUCAGACCCUGAUAUCUUUCUAGUUUAAGAUCAGUCAGCUGGUCAAGGUUCUGACUCUGCAGAUGCCUCUAAUUUCCUACAACACAACAACAAAUUUCUAGCACUGCCCUCUCUUUGCCUUUUUCUGUUGUCUCCUUCCUCAAACAGACAAUUGGUUUCUAUUGAUUUCCUGAGCAUCAUUCCCAAGAUGACUCAUCCUUUUUUUUUUUUCUCUGAGCGCUGACAGUCUGGCUCCAUGAGGAAAUGCUUUCUUUAGGUUUCCUGUUCUACUUUAGGUGAUGCUUGUCAAGGUGCAAGGUCCCGUCUGGGCCUUGAGGCUCAGAAUAGUUGUUCGUGAUAGUAGGUGGGAAAGAUUUAUUGUGUAUUCUUUCUUUAGGAGAAGUAACAACAUCUUUAGUGGGGCUGAGGUUGGCAAGAGGUGCGCUGUAGUGCCCCUGAGGAGAAUUUGGCCUUCCUCGACUGUUUUGUAAGCAUUUGACAGGUGAAAUAGUGUGGGAACUGCGGGGAGUGUUACUUUAAAAUGCUUUUUGUUGCGCUUGUCGGGGAUGUGGAGGUGCCUGGUGAAUGCUCAAUAGCUCUGUAGGAGCCGCUGGUGAAUGGUUGAGUGCUGGGGAGAAAAUGGCUUCCCGCAAUAGUUGUGCAGAUUGUUUCUGAGGCGCUUUUCUGUCGGGAAACUGUCCACAUUUCUUUCCCCCAACUGCUGGCUCCCACAGAGGGGUUCAGAAACACUUCUUUUUCUUUUUGAUUGAUCAGACUGACAUGCAGUUUGCCUGUUUCUCAGCCUGGAGCCAGUUGGACAGUCGCCCUAUGAAGUGAUGAGCCACAUGUUUCGCAGAGGCCCAGCUUACUCGCUAACAUCCUCGGCCUUGGGGAGAAAGACUUGCUGUGGCGUUUAUUGUAAUGGCACAAAGCUGCCUCACUGUCCACACUCAUUUUCUUUGUUUUCACUGUUGGGUUCCAUGUGUUGUGGAAAUCUCACAUGGGGUACAG